CUUGUCAACUAAGCAUAAGAGGUCCCGCCUGCCCUGUGACUAUGGGUUUAACGGCCGCGGUAUUUUGACCGUGCGAAGGUAGCGCAAUCACUUGUCUUUUAAAUGGAGACCUGUAUGAAUGGCACGACGAGGGCUCAACUGUCUCCUUUUCCCAGUCAAUGAAAUUGAUCUUCCCGUGCAGAAGCGGGAAUACCACCAUAAGACGAGAAGACCCCAUGGAGCUUUAGACACUAGGCAGCCCACAUUAAACAAAUCUGCACCACCAGAAAGAAUUUAGUGGCCCCUCUCCUACUUGUCUUUGGUUGGGGCGACCGCGGAGGAAAAAAGAGCCUCCAUGUGGACUGAGAGCACUGCUCUCACAGCCAAGACCCACAGCUCUAAGCAACAGAAUUUCUGACCAAAAUGAUCCGGCACAAGCCGAUCAACGAACCGAGUUACCCUGGGGAUAACAGCGCAAUCCUCUCCCAGAGUCCCUAUCGACGAGGGGGUUUACGACCUCGAUGUUGGAUCAGGACAUCCUAAUGGUGCAGCCGCUAUUAAGGGUUCGUUUGUUCAACGAUUAAAGUCCU
rnacentral:rRNA from 1 species